UACAGAGGUCCCAAGCGUUGUUCGGAUUCACUGGGCGUAAAGGGUGCGUAGGGGGUUAGGUAAGUCCGAUGUGAAAUCUCCAGGCUCAACCUGGAAAUGGCAUUGGAUACUAUCUAGCUUGAGGAGUGGAGGGGGGACUGGAAUUCUCGGUGUAGCAGUGAAAUGCGUAGAUAUCGAGAGGAACACCAGUGGCGAAGGCGAGUCCCUGGACACUUCCUGACACUGAGGCACGAAAGCUAGGGGAGCAAACAGG
rnacentral:rRNA from 1 species